CCUACGGGUGGCAGCAGUGAGGAAUAUUGCACAAUGGGCGAAACCCUGAUGCAGCAACGCCGCGUGAGUGAUGAAGGCUUUCGGGAUGUAAAGCUCUGUCCUCAAGGAAGAUAAUGACGGUACCUGAGUAGGAAGCCCCGGCUAACUACGUGCCAGCAGCCGCGGUAAUAUGUAGGGGGCUAGCGUUAUCCGGAAUUACUGGGGGAAAAGGGUGCGUAGGUGGUUUUUAAAGUCGGAGGUGAAAGGCUACGGCUCAACCGUAGUAAGCCUUUGAAACUGGGGAACUUGAGUGCAGGAGAGGGAAGUGGAAUUCCUAGUGUAGCGGUGAAAUGCGUAGAUAUUAGGAGGAACACCAGUUGCGAAGGCGGCUCUCUGGACUGUAACUGACGCUGAGGCACGAAAGCGUGGGGAGCAAACAGGAUUAGAUACCCCAGUAGUC
rnacentral:rRNA from 1 species